rnacentral:lncRNA from 1 species
ACAAACCUAACUUUUUACCUUUUGAAGGUAAAAGAGGUGGUUGUGAUAAACCUUCGGCUCUAGUAACACAUUUUAAUCAAUCUUUCGUCUUUCAUUUGAAUUCACAUGUUCUCGCAUGAUUUUCACCCACUUUCAUCGAUCGAGAUAUGCAAGUAAGCCAUAAUCCAUGAAUCUCCAAGAAAAUGGACUUUGAAAAUUGAGAUACAAAAUGCAACAAGCCCAAGUAUAAGAUCAUAAGCUUUGUAACCAAAUGUAACAUCAUUCUCAUUUUAAAUGUUAAAGGCACACCUUUACAAACUAUAAUGACAACAACCAAAAUCUUAGUAAAGGUACCAAAACAUACUAUUGAGAUACCUAAUAAAUAGUAACUUAAUCUGAAUAAGAUCCCCAAUAGGAAAAAUAUGGAACUAUGGAGAUUGAUGAGAAGUUAAUUUUAUUCUCACGUGAAUGGAGCAGCAACAUUUAGUCGUGUAGCUAAGAGCAUAAGAUAAAGUCUUGAACUUCACACUAGCAUCAACAUGUCUGGUCUUAAAGAACUAUAAGAAACCACUACUCAGAUGGUGAAUUUGAUAGUACUCGGGGACCAAGGAUAGCAAGAAACACCGAUACUCAUUCUCAGCGCUUGGAUACUACAAGAUAUCAAGAUAGAAAAAGCUUCCUACAAGAAGAUAUCAUGCUCUUCUCAUAAUAUUUGUGCAGCAAUAGAGACAAUCGUAUGGUGCUGUACUACUAUCAAAGCCUGAGACCAAACAAAACAGUCACGUAUUUCAGUUCCUAGAAUAACUUAGUCUCGAAACGUUGACAUAAGAAUAUGAUAGAAAAUCCUUCUUAAAGUCACAGUGUAACAAUGAACCAUGAAUGACUAAGUAGACUUAUACACCAGAGCCAUGAGCCCCUUGGAAAUAUUAGAUACAUAACAACUGCCAAUAGCACAGAGCUAUUUAAGUAAUUCGGAACUUGUUUAUUUUCUGUAAGUCAAUCAUUCAGUUGCUUCUUUUUUUCUAUCCUAUUCGACACUUGUUAAAAUGUUGUAUUUAUGCAAGAGUCUAGGGGGUAAAAAAAGAGGAACAUUGUUCAAAGUUAUCGUUUAUAAAUACUGAUGAUUUUUGUGAGCUAUAGACCAGAUUGCGUCAGUAAGCAGCGCACAACGAAUUGCUGUAUCUCCUAAGAGACAAUGUACUUAAGAAAACUGAAGGUUCCCCUGCCCCCAUUUUUACAUGACUCAUAGCAGCACCAAGUCAUAAUCCCGAAUAGAGAAUCACAUUGAUAUUCACGCUUUAUUAUUUUAAAUUGCAACCACUUAGAAUAACAAGCUAGCAAUUCAGAGAACAAUUUUAUCUUUUGACAGGUAUUAAGAGGAGUAAUUUUCCACUGAGAUAAACAUUAUAAGCUACAAACUUUUAUAAGCAGUGGAUGCAAGAGCUACUGGGGAGCCACUUCCUGCAAAUUAUUAGGGAGCACCAACGAGCAAACCUAAUAUGAAACAAUUUAAUGCAAAAUACAAAACAUACGAACCUCAACGUAAUCCAAAAAUCUCUUCUGGAGGAUCAUAUAUGUGCCGAUCCGGAAAAAUCUCUUCAAAGUCUUGCUUAACCCUAUUUCUUAAUAGUGGGUGUGGCAAAAGUCCCUUCAACAAAACCCUGAAAGGUAGCUCCUCAGGUGGGUAUGGAGACUUCUUCAUGUCUUCAAAUAUAUUCAUAGCAUCUGCAGGAGAUCCAUCUCUCAAGAAUCCCCUAAUAACUUCAGUGAAUGUCUGACAAUCAGGAAAUAGAUCUUCCUUUCUCAUACUCUCCCAUAACUUCAUUGCAUCAUCCAUUUUUCUCCGUCUCGCCAACGCAAUGAUCAGGUCCUUGUAAAGAUAGACAUCGGGUUGGUACCAGGCUUGUUUCUGAAUUACCCAAAACACCUGAAAUACAAACAACUAGCUGUGUGUGAUAAUGCCAUUCCAUAUGCCCCAAAAUAGACUUCGAUAAAUUAACUGAAAAUGACAUUAGCACGCAUAUCAAGAUUCAAAAUGUAUGAUCUCAACCAAAAAGGAAACAAAUAGAAUAGCUUUAAGCAGAUAUCCGAAAAAGCAACAGCACAAUUUUAACAAUGUUUUGCCCAUUUGAUAACUUAAAAUAGAACAACUUCACAAGAAAAAAAAUUAUAAAACCACUGAACAGCGAACACUAUUGACCAAUUCUCUUAUUUAUAUUAUGAUCUAAUAUAAACACCUUCUCCAACGACUCAUCACCAAAGCACUGAAUGCACUUCACUCCAACUACUGCCUUAUAAGCGAAACUAUACAAGUUUUAUCGCAUCCAACUAAACUUGGGCACCUAGACGCUAAAUGGGAACAAAGAAAGAUCACAGCUUAAAGAUAAAUCCAACAGCAAUAACUUCCUCUAUUACUAAAUGCAACAAUAAAACUUCUGAAAUAGAAAUGAGAAAACAGUAGGUGAUCUUUUCACAUUUGCUCAAGCCUGGUGGGCAGAGUCACCUAGUACCCGUUUACUCAGUUUAAUUAGUCGAUGUGCGUACAAGCUGGCACGGACAGCGGUACUAAAACUACUAUUGUGCAAUUCUUGUUUACUAGUUUCACUUACUCCAUAUAUGAACAGAGAAAAGAAAAAUCACAUUUUUUGGCAUUAGAAAGCUUACCUUAACAGCAAGAGAGACUUCUUCUUGGCGUUCAAGCUCAUUAAGUACAGCAAUCAUAUCCAUUUUAAGAAGUCUAAGGACAUGUGUUUUAACAAACUUGUCAAGCUUUUCUUCAUCAUCUUUGAAUCUUCUUAACCCAAGAAUCACAAAAAGUGCUUCUUUUCCAAUCAAUUUCUUUCCCCUCCAAAGUGACCCUCUUGGUCUUCCAUCAUGGUACCACCUCACAUCCCUCACUGAACUUCUAGAAAACUCAGGAACCCAUGAUGGAGAACAUGAAGAAGAAGAUGUUAAGGUGGAAGAAAUUGAUGGUAAUGGAGAAACUGAAAGGUGUUUAAGAAGCAAAGAUGGAAUUUUUAGUCUUGAAAUGGUUCUAAUUGCCAUUUUUGAAAGAUGGCUAUGAAAGGGAAGUCUGUACGAUGGUUAUGGUGGCGGAGGCGAUGGAUACAGAGGCGCCGGUGAUGCUCCGGCGGAAGAAUCAGUGAAAUUGGGUAUUAGGGUUUGACAACUUCCGAUUAUGAAGUUGAAUUGGGGAAGAAAUAUUAGUAGUUAUUUACUUUUAGACACCUUAUGUUUUUGAAAACUAACAUUUAGUCCAUCUAGCUUUUGAAAAAUACUUAAUUGGUCCCAAAUUGUCCACCUAGGCAGUCCAACGUGUGGAACUCUGUCAGUUCCUUGUUAGUUAUCUUGCGUAUCUUUGAGAAUCAAUAUGAUUAAAUUUUAAAUUAACUCAGAGUAUAUUAAUUUUAUAUUUUUAAUUAAAAAUUAUAUAUUUAAAUACUAUACAAAAAACAUUAUAUAUUACAAUUUUUUUAUAAAAUACUAAUCAAAAGUCAUAUUGAUUGACUCUAAAAAAAAAUACUUAAUGUUAUUUCAUUUUCUUAUUAUUUUGCUUUUCACGAGCAAAAGUUUCUCCAAAUUAUUUUAUUUUAAUAUAUCGUAUCCUUUCAAUUGACACAACCAAAAAUAAUAGUUUAUUUUUCAUCUGCAGACGAUGAGUUAAGAUAUCAUGAACUUUGGGUUUUGUGAUAAACCUUUUGUUGAAUCAUUUUAAUUUAACCAAAAUUAAUGAAAUUUUAUGUCUUUAAAAUUAGAAAAAAGACGAAAAAAUUAUAAAAAGAGAUAAAUAAGAUUUCAGCUAAAAGUGCCACAUCACCAAAGCUAUAUAUAAAUAAAGGGAUUUUUACUAGUCAUAGAUUUUUUUUUAAUUAGAAUUUUAAUCAACAUUUACUAUGCAUUUUUUUAUCAUAAUGAUAUAUAAAAAAAUUACAAUCUAUAAUAUUUUUAUAUAUAAUUCUUAAAUAUUUAAUUUUCUAACUAGAAUUUCAGCUAAAAGUGCCACAUCACUAAAGCUAUAUAGAAAUAAAGGGAUUUUACUAGUCAUAGUUUUUUUUUUCUAACUAAAAUUUUGAUUAACAUUUGACUAUAUAUCUUUUUAUCGUAUUGAUAUGUAAGAAAAUUAUAAUUUAUAGUAUUUCUUUUUUAUAAUUUUAAAAUAUUUAAUUUUCUUUAAAAAAGUUAUCAAAAUAAUGUAAUAUAAUCUAACUUUUAAAAAUAAUUAAAUUAACUUUUCAAAAACGUAAUCCGUCGAAUAAAAGUCGACUGAAUAGUUAAUUAUCAAUGUAGUCAAACUAGGAUUGCAUAUUUUCAUACAAGACUCCAAAAUUUGGGGGGGAAAAAGUCAAACUAAUAAUAAUGAUGGUAAUAUCUGAAAUAGAUUAGAUCAGAAAUCUCUACCCAUAAAAUUAAUUGUAUAAAAGGAGGAAUGAUCAUAUAUAAAAAACAAAAAAAAAAACAUAUAGUUGAAUAUUUUCUUUCUAUCAUGGAUUAUUCACAUUUCAAGACUAUAUUAUUGUUAUGCAUUUUCUUCUUCUUUUGCUUUCCACAAGCAAAAGGGAAUCAUCGAUGGAACACAUACACUGUUGUUAUAUAUAAUGGCCUUCCAUUUGAUUCGCCCAAAUUAUCGAUUCAUUGUUAUUCUGCAGACGAUGAUUUAGGAUAUCAUGAUCUUGCUGCAUAUGAAAAUUUCAGUUGGAAGUUCAAAUUUAAUCAAUGGCUUUGGGCUAGAACAAGGUUCCAUUGUCAAUUUUGGUGGGACAAAAAAAGCAAAUCUUUUGUUGUAUUUAAUGAUUACGAUCACUGUAUUUUGUAUUCGCCUAUUCCUACAACAAAUUAUUGUCAAUGGACCGUACAAGAAGAUGGCUUUUGGCUGACUAACUAUAGAGGGGAUACUUAUAGAGUUUUUGAAUGGUGAACGAUAAUAGUUUAUAAUCUUAUAAUACUUUUCAUUGAAACCUUUACUUUAUAUAAAUAACAAUGCUUCUUUUUUGUUGCAUUACUGAUUUUUAAUCUUGUUGAAUUAUAAGUGUAUAAAUUGAAGUUGAUGAUUUUUUUUAUUAGUAAUAAAAGUUUAAUAAGUAUAAGUUAUGAAAAUAAACCUUAAAUAAAUAAAAGAGAAAAAAAAACACAAAUAGAGGAGAUAAAAGAAAUAACUUUAUAGGAUAAAAAUUUAUAAUAUUAUAAUACUUUUUAUUGAAACCUUUACUUUGUAUAAAUAACAAUGCUUCCUUUUUGUUGAAUUACUGAUUUUUAAUCUUGUUAAAUUAUAAGUGUAUAAAUUGAAGUUGAUGAUAUUUUUUUAUUAGUAAUAAAAGUUUAAUAGGUAUAAGUUAUGAAUAUAAACCUUAAAUAAAUAAAAGAGAAAAAAAAACACAAAUAGAAGAGAUAAAAGAAAUAACUUAUACGUAUGAUAAGUGAUUUAAGGAAAUUAUACAAAUAACACCAAUAACAAGAUUAAGAGAAAACAAAAAUGUGAAAUUGAGAAAAAAAAAUAGGAAAUAAAGAGAUUAAUAGAUUAAUUGAUGAAAGAAAUUAAAUAUAAUAUCCUUUCUAUUCUAUAAAAUCUUAUGUAUAAGAAAAGAUACUAAUAGUAUAGAUGUAAUGAAAGGAAUUAUAAAUAUUACUAUUAAUAAUUCUCAAUAAAAUUUUAACGUGGAAUUUUAUAUGAUUUAAAAUUAGAAGAAAAAAAAAGAUUAAAAAAUGUAAUAGAUAAAUAAUUUUUUUUAAAAAAAGAUCAAAAAGAUACUAAUAGUAUAGAUGUAAUGAAAGGAACUAAAAGUAUUACUAUUAAUAAUUCUCAAUAAAAUUUUAAGGUGGAAUUUUAUAUCAUUUAAAAUUAGAAGAGGAAAAAAGAUUUAAAAAUAUAAUAGAUAAAUAAAUUUAAAAAGAAUAGAUCAAAUUCAUUCAAUGUAGAUUGUAGUCAAACUAGAAAUGUUGAAUUUCUUUAUUCAAAGACUCCAAAACUAGAAAAGGAAUAAAGUCACUACAAAUUAAUAUUGAUAUUAAUAUCUAAAUUAUCUCAUCAUCUCUUCCCAUAACAUUUAUCAUAUAUAAGAAACCAUAUAGACUCUCAAACAAAUUAAAUUUUAAAUAAUUUUCUUCCUAUCAUGGAUUAUUCACAAUUUAAAAAUAUAUUAUUAUUAUUAUUAUUAUGCAUUUUCAUCAACUUUUGCUUUCCACAAGCAAAAGGAAUUCACCAUUGGGGAAAAUAUACUAAUUCUAUAUAUAAUGGUAAGAACUAUCCUCUGAUGCUACAAUAUUAAAAAAAUACUCUUUAUGUCAAAACUAAAAAGUGGGGAGAAAUCUACUUUUGAUUUUAAACAUAUUUUAAGUUAUUUUAAAUUUAUUUUAAAUUAUUUUUAACCUUUUCAAACAAUUUCUAACUUAUUUUAAGUUGUUUUUAUCUCUUAAAAAUAUAUUUGACCAACUUUUAAAAUUUUAAGCACCUUCUAAGUCAUUAAUAUAGUAAAACUGGGCUAUUAGUGUUGAUGGUAUCUAUAAUCUAUAAUAUCUAUAAAUUGAAAUUUUCAUAAUCAGCCCCAUAAAUUUUGAUUUUUUUUCUUCUUUUAUAAAAGGGAAAUAAUUAUGUAAAUGUGACCAUAAACUCUAACAAAUCAAAGCUGAUAGCUCCUUUCUAGGAUUAUUCACAAAUUAAGACUAUAUCUUUUAUUAUGCAUUUUUUUCUUUUUUUGCUUUUCUUAAAUAAAAGGGUAUUCAAAAUAUAUCGUAUAUAAUAGCCUUCCAAUUGACUCUCCUGAUAAUUAAGAGUUCAUUGUUUUUCUAAAGAAAAUAAUAUAGGAUUUCAUGUACUUUCUCCCUAUGAAGAUAUUAAUUGGUCAUUUAAAGCAAAUCGCUGGAUUAUUGGAUUAUUAGUCGGUGAAAGGAUAAAAAUUAAUGAUAUUUAUAAUACUUUCAAAUGAAAAUCUUAUUAACUUUAAAAAUAUAAUAAUACUUUUCCUUUAAAUUUAUUGGAUUAUCUAUGUAUACAAAUUAGAUUUUUCAUUUUCUUCUUGUAACUUUCCUUAUAUCUAUUAUUCAAUUUUAAGAUUUCGAUUUUGAUUUCUCAAAUAUUUUUUUUUUUAAUAUUUAUCUUCUCAUCAUUUAUGUUGAGUAAUUUUGACAUGACAAUGGAACAGAGUAAGGGAUCAAUAGUUAGAAACUAAGAUGCUAAGUGACCAAUUAAUUAUUUUGUAUAUCAGUAUAUAUACACAAAUAUGUUAUUAUUGUAAUUGUUAACUUUUUUAUACGGAAUAAAUUAAUAAUAUUUUUUACAUCAAUUCAAACGAUAAAAACUAUCUAAAAUUUUCAAGGGAAGUUCUAAUAUCUUAGUUCGUACAAAUUGGUACAUCGAAAAUAUGAAAAUAAUGUGAAAUUAUCCUUUAAAAGAGUAUUUUAUCUCUUGAUAUGAAUUUUAAUGGCAUAAUUCUUUUAGGUGACAUUUUUUUUUUUGGUUAAAGUUUGAUUAAAAUGCUAACCAAAAAGAAUAUAUUACUUUAUUGACCUCUUUUAAGCAAUUGAUGUACUCAAUGAAGAAAAUAAUUGUGUUUCAAAUUCACAAAUUACCUCCAAAACUCAUUGUUAAUGAAAAUGAGUGUUAUAGAUAUAUUAACAGGUGAAUGAUAAUAAUUUAUAAUAUCGUAAAUUUUUUUUAUUAAAACCCUAUCAAUAUUAAAAAGUUAUAAUACUUCUUUGUUGAAUUGUGAAUUUCAAGUUUAUUGAAUUAUUAGAGUACAAAAUUUAAAUAUAUAAUUUUCUUGUUGUAACCUUUUUUUAUUUCGAUAAUUUAAUUUUAAGAUUUCUAUUUUCCAAACAUCUUUUACUUUUAACAUUUUCCUUCCCACCAUUCACGUGGAGAGAUUUCGAAACGCUAAUAAAACAAGAUAACAUAGGAGAGGAAAAAAUGAAUUUUGUUAAAAAGUUAAAAUUGUUCAAUGUUUAGAAGAGUUUUUUAUACUUUUUUUAAUAUAUUUAAUUCAUUUAAUAAAUUGUUAAAUACUUUACGUUUUGUAAACUAAUUUGAGGAUAAUUAAAAAAAUCUAGCAAAUUAAUAACCUAAAAUAGAUGGAGUAACUACGAUUUGAUUUAAUUGUGCUUCAUAACAAACGUUUGCAAAAAAUUGUCAGGUGCCUAUCUCCCAAAUAUCUCGCUCGCCGCUCUCCUUCAAUCUCUCGCUCGCUUCCUCACUUUUUAUACAAAUAUAAGUGUAUAAAAAUUGUUUCCAAUUGUAUAAAGCAGAGAAAAUUAAAUAUAUACAUAUAUUUUUGUUCCUCUCUCUCCCAACUUCCAGAUCUCGCUCCCCACUCUCCCAAAUCUCGCUCACCACGCUCACCUUUCUCACUUAUACAAACAGAAGCGAAAUGUAUAAAUUGCGUUUCUUUUUGUACAAAGCGUGAGAAAAAAUUGUAUGAACACAUGCAAAUAUAUAUAUUUUUGUCCUAUACACUUAUAAUUAUACAAUAAAAAUACUCCCCUGCCCAGUUUCUUUUGCCUUUCUCUCUUUCUCGUUUUAUACAGUUUUCAAAUUGUAUCUAAUUUCUCUCUUUCUCGUUUUAAACAAUUUGAUUCAAUUGUAUAUUCAUUGUCAAGUCUCUUUUGUCUUUCUUUCUUUCUCAUUUUAUACAAAUUCAAAUUGUAUACAAUCUUUCUAUACACUUAUAAUAAUACAAUUCAUUUUAUACACUUCGUUUUUAUACAGUUCUCUGUCCAAGUGUCUUUCUCUUUCUUGUUUUAUACACUUCAUUUUAUACAAUUUGCUUCAACUGUAUAUGUAUAACGAAUUAUAUAGUUUCUAUGUUUGCUAUGGAGCGCAAUUAUGCAAACUUUGUUAUAGCAUACAAAUAUAAAUUUUUUAUUUGCUAUAUGUGAAAGUUGCCCUUAAUAACCUUUAAUUUCUAUUCUUAAAUAUAUUUGUUUUGUGUCAAAUUCUAAUGAUACACUUAAUAUGGACCAUAUAAAAUAUAUAUACUAAGAGGCCGUUUAGAUUGACUUGAAAAAUAAUUUUUAUGUCAAAAUUAAAAAAUAGAGGGAGAUCUACUUUUGAUUUUUGACUUAUUUCAAAUCAUUUUUAAAUUUAUUUUACGCUAUUUUUAACCUUGUCAAGCACUUCCUAACUUAUUUUAAGUCAAAUUUUUUUAUUUAUCUAAAACUUUUUAAACAAAAAAACUGACAGAAAAAUAUAUUUAAUCAAUUUUUAACCCAAUGCAAAUGCCCUCUAAGUCAUUAAUAUAGUCAAACUGGGGUAUUAAUGUUGAUGGUAUCUAUAAUGUCUAUAAAUUGGAAUUUUCAUAAUCUGCCCCACAAAUUUUAAUUUUUUUCUUUCUUUUAACAAAGGGGAAUACUUGUAGCCAUAAACUCUAACAAACUAAAGCUGAAUAGCUUCUUCCUAUAAUGGAUUAUUCACAAGUUAAGACUAUAUACUUCUUAUGCAUUUUUUUCCUUUUUAGCUUUCCUCAAGCAAAAGGGUAUCCAAAAUAUACUGUUUGCGUAUAUAAUGGCCUUCCAUUUGACUCUCCUGAUAAAUUAAGAGUUCAUUGUUUUUCUAAAGAUAAUGAAAUAGGUUUUCAUGUACUUUCUCCCUAUGAAGAUAUUUCUUGGUCAUUUAAAUUAAAUCGUUUGAUUUUUUCGAGAACUACGUUCUAUUGCAGUUUUUGGUGGGGUAAAAGAGCCCAACAAAUUAUUGUAUUCAAUGAUGAAAAGUUGUGCGUUGGAGAUUCACAACUUCCUCAGUCCACACAUUAUUGUCAAUGGACAGCACAAGAGGAUGGUAUUUAUUUGAGUGGCGAACAAAGUUAUGGUUAUAGAUAUAUUAGCUGGUGAACGAAUAAAAAAUUAUGAUACUUUCUUAUGAAAAAUAUAAUAAUACUUUUCCUUUAAGUUUAUUGAAUUAAUUGCCUAUACAAAUUGAAUUUUUAAUUCUCUUGUUGUAACUUUACUUAAAUCUAUCGUUCACUUUUAAGAUUUCGAUUUUGAUUUCCCAAACAUUUUUUCUUCUCAUCAUUUAUGUCGAGUGAUUUUGACAAUGAAACAGAGUAAGGGAUUGAGUUUUAGUAAAUCAAAUGACUUCUAUUAAAUUUAGUCACUAAAUUAAGACAAUAGUUAGAAAUUAAAAUGCCAAGUGACCAAUUAAUUAUUUUGUAUAUCAAUAUAUAUACACGGAUACAUUAUUAUUAAUCGUUAUUUUUUGGUAUGAAAUAAAUCAAUAAUAUUUUUUACACUAAUUCGAAUGGUAAAAUCUAUCUAAAGAUCUUGAAGAAAGUUCUAACAUCUUAGUUCGUGUAAAAUUAAUACGUCUAAAGUAUAAAAAUAGUACGAAAUUAUUCUUUAAAAGAGUAUUUUAUCUAUUGAUAUGAAUUACAAUGGCACAAUUUUCUAGGUGAAUUUUAUUUUUAUGAAGUUUUUUUUAAAAAUGCUAACCAAAGAGAAUAUAUUACUUUAUUGACCUCUUUCAAGUUUAAGUUUUUUGUAUUACAUCAUAUUUAAGCUCAUUUUACUCUAAUAUUAUAAAAUAGAAAUUAUAUACUCUUUUUGUUUCUUUUUAAUUAAUAGAGUCUAUUCACAAUCAGAAAGUGUGAAUUACAUAGAGAUUUUUCUUAGGAAUUAAUAUGAAAAUUCGAAGAAAAAUAAGUUUCAUGUGAAUUUUCAUACUAAUAUUUAGAAAAAAUUCCCAUAUAAUUUACAGUUUAUUAUAGUGAUUAAUUUAUAGUGUUAAAUAUAACAGUUAAUAUAUUCUUUUAAAGGCACUAAGUCAAUAUUAAUAAAUUGAGAAAUAACAGAAAAAUAAAAUUAUUAUAUUUUAUUUAUUAAAAAUGAUAAAUAAAAAUAAAAAUCAAAUUAAAAAAUAGUCAAUAAAUCAUCAAAUGUAGUCAAUCAAUCAUACAAAUACUCCAAAAUUGGUCUGGGUGGGGGAUAUUAUGUCAAUUAAUGUUGAUAAUAUCAUUGUUCAUAAUUCUUUUUCUUCUUUUAUAAAAGGAGGGGUACUUAUUAUUAUUAUUAUUAUAAUAUAAAAAAGAAGCCAUAAACUAUAGCAAAUUAAAAUUGACAGUUUUUUCCUAUCAUGAAUUAUUCACAAUUCAAAACUAUAUUAUUGUUAUGUUUUUUUUUCUUUUUAUUGCUUUCCUCAAGCAAAAGGGAAUCAUCGUUGGAAGAAGUAUCCUGUUUUAAUAUAUAUGUAGACAUUGAAAUUUUGUAAGAGUCUACAAGAUGCGUUCAAUUCGAGUUGGGACUCUACAAAUUGUGUUCAACUCAGAUAAGGAUUCUUGGAGGCUUCUCAACCCUAAACCCCUAGUUUAUGCCUAAGGGUACUAAAUUCCGUUUAUGCCUAAGGGUACUAAAUUCCGUUAAAAGGCAUCUCGAAAAAUCCACAAAGAGAUCAAGAUAUCCACAAAGAGAUCAAGAUCUCGAAUACUCCACAAAUUGAUGGAUUAUUCAUAUAAAGAGAUCAAAUCUAAAUCAUCCUAGUUCAAGAAAUACACCACUAACGGCCAAUCAAGGGAGGAACAAAUUUAUAUUCACAAUCUUGAUGAAUAAAAUCACGUUUCUUCGAUUGUUUGCAUCAUGAUUGUGAGUACAAAUUUGUUCCUCCCUUGAUUCUACUCUCUAAUAUGAUUUAUCCAUGAUUCACGUUUCUUCGAUUGUUUGCAUCAUGAUUGUGAGUACAAAUCUGUUCUUCCCUUGAUUCUACUCUCUAAUAUGAUUUAUCCAUGAUUCGAGGGCCGUUAGUGGUGUAUUUCUCGAACUAGGAUGAUUUAGAUUUGAUCUCUUUAUAUGAAUAAUCCAUUGGAGUAUUCGAAAUCUUGAUCUCUUUGUGGAUUUUUCGAGAUGCCUUUUUAACGGAAUUUAGUACCCUUUAUAUAGGCAUAAACUAUGGGUUUAGGGUUGAGUAGCCUCCAAGAAUCCUUAUCUGAGUUGAACACAAUUUGUAGACUCCCAACUCGAAUUGAACGCAUCUUGUAGAGUCUUACAAAAUUUCAAUGUCUACAAUAUAAUGGCCUUCCAUUUGACUCUCUUAAAUUAUUCACUAUUAUUCUGCAGAUGACGAUUUAGAAUUUCAUUAACUUUUUGCUUAUUAAAAUUUCACUUGGAGAUUUAAAUUUAAUCAAUGGCUUUAGAUUAGGACAGUGUUUACUUAUCAUUUUUGGUGGGGUAAGAAAAAUAAAGCUUUUAUUGUAUUCAAUGAUUACGAUCAUUGCAUUUUGUAUUCGCCCUAGUGCUACAACAAAUUAUUGUCAAUGGACUAUACAAGAGGAUGGUAAUAUAUCGAAUGGUCGGAUAAAAAUUUAUGAUAUUGUAUUCUUUUAAUUGAAAUUUAUCUUUUAAAAAUAAUAAUAUUUUUCUUUUUUAAAUCGCUUAUUUUUAAGCUUAUUGAAUUGUUAACGUAUAAAAAAUAAAUUUAUAAUUUUAUGGUGUACCUUUGCCUUAACGAUCACUAGAACAUUAUAAAACCUGUUCUUUUAUUACCUUUUCCCUUUCCGUUAUUCAAGCUAAAAGUUUCAAAAAGAAAAUAAUUGAAUCUGAAAGUUUUGAUGAUAUAAUUGAUCACAAUAAUAGCAUAAAUAAACACAUCUAUUAAUAAUGGAUAAUACGAUUGAACUAUUUCUAAGAAUUUAAUAACAUAUUUGAUUUUUUUUCUUUUGAAAUCGUAUUUAUUAAAAUGUUUGUUCAAGUUUGAAAAGAAAUAAACAUGCUAACCAAUUGUAUGGAGCAGCCAUUUUUUAGACUUUUUUUUUUAAAGAAAUAUCAUUUCUAAUUGUAUUUCAAUAUUAUAAAAUAAAAUUAAACGUGAAAUUAAAGUAUAAAAUAUCGUAAAUUGUAUGGCGUAACCAUUUUUUAGAUUAUUUUUCCAGUAGCCAACAUUAAAAAAAUUCACCAAGGUACAUUAUUGGCUGACUAAUCAUUGUUUAAUCCUUUUUUUUAAAUAUUAUUUUUUUCAAUAACUUGAUAAAUCACAAGAGAAGAAAAAUAGUUCGUAUGUCCUCGUAAAGUUGGUAACAUUUUUGUUAUAUAUCUAAACAAAAAAUAUACCCCACUAGAGAAAGGGGGUUGGGGUUUGUUGAGGUCAAUAUGGUCAAUUCAUGUUUCCACCAACAAUUUUGGCCUAUAUAGUGGGGAAAAUAUGGUUAUUUUAAAAUGUAUAUAUAAGGUCAAAAGUUGAUGUACAUAAAUUAAAAAUGGAUAUUGUAGCUAUACCAAACACCUUACCAACACAAAAAUUUUACUUAUUCCUAAAGUUUUGAGCAAUGCAAUAUUCCAUUUCUUUGACUUCAUACACAUAAGGUUUCACCGAUAAUAAAAAGUUUCGAGUUUAAGUAAAUUUAAAUAAGUCGAAUUUUAUAUUGAAUGAGAGAAAAAGAGUUUCAAUUUAUUAAGUGGUUAUAUUCGUCUAAGGGAAUUAGAGAAAUGAGAUGAAAAAAAUUAUCCUUUUCACAAUCCCACUUAAUUUUAUUUUUUUUUUGAUCGAAACUUACCAACUCAGCUGAUUUGAAUUCAUUAUGUAAGUAGUCUGCAAUAUGAGGUGUUAAUGUUUACUACUAAGAACAAUUUCAUUAUUAAAAUUCAAACUCCAACUUUUAAGAGCUUACUUACAACUUUAGUCAUGGUGAGUAAAUUAUUAUUUUAAUUCUCAUAUUAAAAAUUAAAUGUAAAAAUAUCUUAUAUCUAGUCUUACUCUUAUAGACGUGCAGACCAAGUCGAGACCUUAUUUGUCAAUUAUUGUGUGCAUAAUAAACUGUUAAGUCCACUAUAUAAGCAAAAUUAGUGGACCAUUUUCUUAAUUUUUUAUUUGAAAAUCAAACUUUAAGAUGUUCUAAUUUAGAUUUUCAUGAAGAUUAAUAAUAUAAUUUUUAAUAAGGUGAUAUGUAUACCAACUUUAUUUUAAUAUUUUAUAUUGGCAGAAAAAUGAUUUAAAACACAAAAUCUGAAUUUCGUAAUACACAAAUUAUUAUUAAUAAAAUUGGUCAAUCUACAUAUACCUUUCAAAUUGGAACAUUUUGUAAUGAUAGCGUCACCAUAUCCUUGUAAGAGUAGGUAAGAUUUGAAAGGUUUGCCUAUGGUGUUUGUUGAUGUCAAUUUGGUCAACCUAUGUGGUUAGAUAAAAUUUUGAGUUCAAAUUUUAUUGACGAUGAAAAGUUUUUAAUAGCAAAUAUUUUUUUUUUGGAUAAAAUAUCGAAAUAAUCAACCAAAUAGAUUUUAUAUAUAGUAUGAUUAACCCUAAACAACAAAUUAUUCUUCAAAUAUUUGACAUUACUUCUUGGUCCCCCAAUGAAUAGCAAUUAAUUAGGUGUAUGAAAAUGUUGUUUCCCCCCUCCUGCCCCCCCCCCCCCUUUUUUUUUGUAUAUAUGUCAAAAUCACUCACCAUUCAAUAUGUUAUGUACUUUUUUUUUUUAAAAAAAAUUGAGUUCAUCUUUGGUUUAAUUUAAGCUCUAUUGAUUAUUGUUGAUUUUUAUUUCAUUAUUUUGUUACUACUGUUUAAUUCUUCAAAGAUAUGAAUAUGAUUUGAAUAUUUUAGAAUAGAUAUUCGUUAAUAAUAAAGUUAUAUUUUUAAAAUUAAGCAGAGCAAGAGGAUUAUAUUUUCGAAAGACAUUAAAAAAUUAGGAUCGAUAAGUAAAUUAUAAAGCUAGAAUAGAAGAAAUUGAUAAAUCCAACAAUUUCUUUAUUAUUAUAUAUAUAUAUAUAUAUAUAUAUAUAUAUAUAUAUAUAUAUAUAUAUAUAUAUAUAGUUUCUAUUAAAUUUCUUCAUGCUCCAGGCUUAAGAAAAGAAAUAAAUAAAGGAUGGGGUGGGUUGGUGUUCUUUUAUAUAAUAAUAAUAAUAAUAAUAAUACUCUAUUCUCCAACUUUUUUGUUCUCUAUUCCCUUUAAUUAUUUUGCUUCGAAUUAGUGGGACAUUAUGCAUAUAAUAUAGUACUAGCAUAAUUAAAAAAAAUAUUAAAAAAAUGUUUAUAUUGGGUGAUGAAAGGACAUAGAGAUUUGCGACGAAACGAAAUCGUUACCCUUUGUACAAUCCGUUCUUCUUUUCUAUAUAUAUAUAUUUAUAUUUAAAAUUAUGUUUUUUUAAUUUUGUUUAGUGAUUUUAUUUAUAAGUAUGUGAAUAUCUAUUAAUUUUUACAUAUAAAUAUGAUUUGAACCUAUAUUACCGUAGAUGAAUUUAGAGUAUAUAGUAGAUAGUGUUGGACUAAUAAGAUUUUUAUGGUGACUAUUUAAUAGUAUACGAUUUUUUUAAAAAUCUUCUACUUUUUUAUUAAAAAAAAAUUAAUUAUCACUUAACCUUUUAAAUUACAAAUAAUUUACGGCAUUAUUUUUUAUUAACAUAAAAAAAUUAAUAGAACUCCUAUUUUCUAAUUUGUAUGGCGGUGUGAGAGUGAGAGCACCGACGAGAUGGCCGUUACAUUGAGAUUUACAAAGUGUGGGUCCAAUAAUACCUGUCGGCCAACAUCUAUUAUUUAUUAAUCUUUACGUUUUAAAAAGAAUUAUAUAAUUUAAUUUAUAAAGAAGUUAAUUUUUUUUUUAAUUUUAUAAUUCUAAAUUAGAGUUACAUCAAAUAUAUUAAAUGUCAUUUAAUAUUAUAAUCUUAAAUAUGUCGCAUGAAAAAUUAAAGUUAAAGUGCUGACCAAAAAAAGAAAAGGAUCGUUCUUUUUGAAUUAUACUAAAAAAAAAUUAGGAUAUUUUUUUAAAUGAAAGAAGUAACUUUUUUGUAUCAGAGCCUAAUAAAUUUAUAUUCGUAUCGUUUUUAAAUUUUAUUCAAGAAAGAAUGCAUUGUAUCAAAAAGAAAAUUUUAAUACGCUUAAAUUUAAAAUCUCUUAUUGAAGACGGAACAACUUAAUCACGACAUUUGGCCAAACCUAAUUGAUUUUUUUCUUCCUAUUUUUUGAUAAACUGAAUAAUACUCUCCAUAAUAAUAAUAAAAACUAGCGUUUUUAGACUUUAUUAUAAUUUCAAAAUUUCUUUAUUUUAGUUAGUUAGAGACACAAGCUGCUGCAUCAAAAGAAAAACAAAACUCUUCAAUUUACAUCUUACAAGGACUGCAUUUUUUUACUGCUUCAAAAAGAAUUUUUUUUAUAUUAAUAUUUUAAUUUCAAUUUUCAUCAUGUAUAAGACUAUAAAAUUAAAUUAUAAAUUUAUAUAUUUAACAGAAUUUUAGUUUAAAAUUACAAAUUUUAAAAAUCUAUUUUAUUUUCUUAAACUUCAUAUGAAAUUAAAUUUAAUCAUUCUAUUUAAGCGAAGAAAAUAAUUAUUGUUCAAAUAAUUUGACAAAACUAAUACAGGUAUGACAAAAUAAUGAAAUAAUGCCAGUUUAGUGUCUGUGCUCGACUAUAGAUUGAUUUACUAUCUUUAGUCGUGUCUUUGAGAUGCAUCCACAAGAGAAGUUAAAGUAGGUUUUGAUAAGUGGCGGAUCUAAAAAUUUUAAUAAGAAAAUUUGAUAUGUGAAGAAUUAAAUAUAUGAAAUAAUUAAAUAGGUUUAACAUUUAUAAUAUAUUUUUAUAUGAUUAGAAUAAUUUAGAUAUAUAUAGGAAAUGUGAUCUCCUUCACCUAUUUUGUAGAUCUAAUUUUUUUAGAUUUUAAAUCCCUUAUCGAAACUUUUGGCUUCACCUUUACAUAAAAUAUAAUUUAAUCAUGUAUACAUAGUAAAAAAAAUUCGUCGAAGCGGUUCGGAUGAAUCUCCUAUCAGAGGGCUAGCUCCGCCCCUGAUUUUGAUAAUCCUAAAAUAAGGUAAAAGUACAGAAAUCUCAUAUAUUUAGGUUAUAUUUUAUCAAAAAUUUCUCAUUUAUAAAAAUUAAAAUUUGUAUUGUCCUUAAAUAUAUAUUUUUAUUAUCUGAUAUAUUACUUAAUAGAAAAAAUAUAUAUGGGAGUGGAUGAAUGGAGAGCCCCGAGUAGUUUAUUGGACAAAUCAAAUUAACGUGUGAUAAUACUUUUCAGCAUCAAAAGUUUUCUUCUAUCACGAGAGAAAAUGAAUAUAUAUUCGAGAGAGGACCAGGAUUUAAUCUAAACUAAAACAUGUAAAAAAAUAUUUAAUAAAAAUUACUAAUAAACUUUAUCAGAUCUACCAAAACCAAUAAAUUCCCUUAUAAAAAUUAGAGAUCUGAAACAAAUCUUGACCGUCCAUUUCCACAAUCAAACCUAUUUAUACCACUCAUUUCCGCCCUAAAUUUCUUGCCACAAUUCUUCUUCUUCCCUGAAAAACCCCAAAGGAAGAAGAGAAAAGCCUCUCAGAUCUCAUCUUAAACCCUUUCUUUUCUCUUAUACUCGCCUUACCCAUGGCUCUACUCGUUGAGAAGACCACCUCUGGCCGCGAGUACAAGGUGAAGGACAUGUCUCAGGCUGACUUCGGCAGGCUCGAAAUCGAGCUUGCUGAAGUUGAAAUGCCUGGUCUCAUGGCUUCACGUGCUGAAUUUGGCCCUUCACAGCCCUUUAAAGGUGCAAAGAUCACUGGAUCUCUGCAUAUGACUAUCCAAACUGCUGUCCUUAUUGAAACCCUAACUGCUUUGGGUGCUGAAGUUAGAUGGUGUUCUUGCAACAUCUUCUCAACUCAGGACCAUGCUGCAGCAGCCAUUGCACGUGACAGUGCUGCUGUCUUUGCCUGGAAAGGUGAGACUUUGCAGGAGUACUGGUGGUGUACUGAGAGGGCACUUGACUGGGGUCCAGGUGGUGGUCCUGAUCUGAUUGUUGAUGAUGGAGGUGAUGCUACUCUGUUGAUUCAUGAGGGAGUUAAGGCUGAAGAGGAGUUUGCUAAGAAUGGAACAGUCCCAGAUCCCACUUCUACUGACAAUGUUGAGUUUCAACUUGUGCUUACUAUUAUUAAGGAGAGCUUAAAGACUGAUCCAUUAAGGUACACUAAGAUGAAGGAGAGACUUGUUGGUGUUUCUGAGGAAACUACCACUGGUGUUAAGAGGCUUUACCAAAUGCAGGCUAAUGGAUCUUUGCUUUUUCCUGCUAUCAAUGUUAAUGACUCUGUUACCAAGAGCAAGGUAUAUUAUAUGUGCUUUCUAACUUAUUGUUUUGAUUCUUAUGCUUCAGAUCUAUGUGAAUUGGUUGUGUGUAGUGUUCAUGUGCUAGUUAUACAUAUAGAUCUGUUAUGAAAUGAUUGAUAAUUGCUUGGAUCUGAUACAGAGGAACUAUACUGUUAACUUAAUGUUGAUUGAUUUGUACUUAUUGUACAAGUGCAAUGUAUAUUUGAGUUGAAUCUUAUUAAUGAAUCAUGAAUCUUCUACUGUUUUGGUAAUGUUUGAGGAAUAAAUGCUAUUGCCUUUUGAAAAGCUAAAAGUUUUCAUCUUUUCUAAUUGGAGUGCGUGGUUAUAUAGUCACUGAUUAGAAAAUUUUGUAAGAUAUUUAUGUGAUGAUGCAUAUUUCACUAGAUCCGUAUUGUUAAGCAUAGAAAAGAUGGUUUCUAAAAUGUCUGAUCUUGUUACAUGAAGAAAUGGUACUUAUUUAACCUCAUAAGUUCAUGACUUUAUUGUAUUGAUUGUUUGCUUAAAGUGGAAGAAUGGUGAAGUGUAUAGUUUUUCACUUGAUUAGUUGAAGAAUGACAACUUGAUUAGCUUAGAUAGGUUUACUUAUAGCUCCAUUUGGAAAAGCUAUUUACAGUAGAUGCAUAAAGUAGUAGAUCUUGAUUAUUAUAUUUAUACCAGGGUCAUGUUUGUUAUUAAGCUCAUUGAUUGACAAUUGUAUUGAUCUGUUUGGUUUGCAGUUUGACAACUUGUAUGGAUGCCGCCACUCACUUCCCGAUGGUCUCAUGAGGGCUACUGAUGUUAUGAUUGCUGGAAAGGUUGCUCUUGUUGCUGGUUAUGGAGAUGUCGGCAAGGGAUGUGCUGCUGCCAUGAAACAAGCUGGUGCCCGUGUGAUUGUGACUGAGAUUGACCCAAUCUGUGCUCUCCAGGCUACCAUGGAAGGCCUCCAGGUUCUUCCUCUUGAGGAUGUUGUUUCUGAGGUUGAUAUCUUUGUGACCACCACCGGUAACAAGGACAUCAUCAUGGUUGACCACAUGAGGAAGAUGAAGAACAAUGCCAUUGUCUGCAACAUUGGUCACUUUGACAACGAAAUCGACAUGCAUGGUCUUGAAACCUUCCCUGGUGUGAAGAGGAUCACAAUCAAGCCACAAACCGACAGAUGGGUCUUCCCAGACACCAACAGUGGCAUCAUUGUGUUGGCCGAGGGUCGUCUCAUGAACUUGGGAUGUGCCACUGGACACCCCAGUUUUGUGAUGUCUUGCUCUUUCACUAACCAAGUCAUUGCCCAACUCGAGUUGUGGAAUGAGAGGAGCAGUGGCAAAUACGAGAAGAAGGUGUACGUCUUGCCAAAGCACCUUGACGAGAAGGUUGCUGCCCUUCAUCUUGGAAAGCUCGGAGCCAAGCUUACCAAACUCACCAAGGAUCAAGCUGACUACAUUAGCGUACCUGUUGAGGGUCCUUACAAGCCUGCUCACUACAGGUACUGAGGGGAAGAGACGCUCACAGUGGAACAACGAUACGGCGGCAUGAUUGUUUUGUUUUUAAUACUUUUAUUUUGUUUAGGUAGUGUGUUUUUAUUUUUGUUGGGGGAUAUUUUGCUGGAAAGUUGACCUAAAUGUGUUUGAAUAAUAUUUGAAUUAUGGUUGGGGUGGUGUCAUAUGAUAUUGUACCAAGUUAGAUUCAUUUGCUUUCUUGUUUCUAUAAAAUUUGCUUCAAGGAAACAAAGCAUCAUGUUUUUCAUUUUCACUACAUCUUUGCUUUAUUUACUUGAUGUUAUUGCAAUUCUUCUCUUAUUUGGCUUCUGUUUAUGCAUCCAUAUGAGAGAGUUCACUUCUAAGAGGGAACAUAUGGUUGACUCCUAGUGAAGAUUUGCGUAGUCUUUGAAAUUUAUAUUUGUGACUUUCGAAAAGCAUAAUAGAGAUGAAAGGAGUAAAUUACUGUACUUUUUAAAUUAAACUUUAGGGAUGGGAACCACCUUGGGGAUUAUCACACCUCAGCACUCAAAAUAACUCCUUUUUGUGAAUAAAACUCCUUUCGUUUCACAAAGAAAUUUAAGAAUAUAAAGUAAUUUUUGAAUUUUAUGAUUCUAAAUUGGAAUUUGAUUAAAUACAAAAUUGUACUUUGAUUUACUGACCUUAAACACGUCACAAGAGGCCAUUCUUUUCGAAAUAAACUAAAAAAAAAAGUCAUUCUUUUUUAAACGGAGAGAAUAUCAAAAAAAAAGAUGUCCUUUCGUUUCACAAAGAAGUUUAAGAAUAUAAAGGAAUUUUUGAAUUUUGUAAUUCUAAAUUAGAGUUUGGUCAAAUACAAAAUUUUAUUUUGAUCUACUGACCUUAAACACGUCACAAGAGGCUAUUCUUUUCAAAAUAAACUAAAAAAAAAAUCAUUCUUUUUUAAAUGAAGGAGUAUAAAAAAAAGAUGAAAGAUUCUUAAUUUUUUUUUUCUAAUUGUACAAAUAAUUAACUACAUUGAGCAUAAAUCUCUCUUUACAUCAUUUAAAAUGAUGACACACUUGAAUUUUUUUUUUUUUUGGGAGAAUUUGAAAUUUCAGAUCAUAAAUUUGAGCCCCAUUUAGCCAAAACAAUAAUUUGUAUGUACACUUCUUCUAACUAUUUUGUGCAAUCUAAAAGGACCUCAAAUUUGAGAUAUUUGGGUGAAAAAGUUGAAUGCUUGUUGGAAAAGAAAUAGCUUUUUUAAAGGGAGAACAAAACAAAAUUUGCUUGUAAAAAAAUAAAGUAAUUAUAAACUUAUUUGCCUAAAAUUAAAUGAUCUUUCACCAACCACCACCACCAAAUUUUCUUUGUUUUUUUCAACUUCAUUUCACCUAAUGCUAUCCAAUUAGAUAAGAUAGUCUAAUUAACCAUGGUUUAAUAAAAGAAACAUCAUGCAUCUAUUAAUUAUGGUUUGAGUUCGAGUUCUAAUAUAUAUGUAAAAACUUGAUAGAAAAGAAAAUCCUUCUGUUUUGAAUGAAUAUUAUGUAAUGGAAAAUCGAAUUAAUUGAACUCUAAAUAUCAACAAAUAUAUAGGGAAAUUUUAUAAGUGAGGUUUGUGAGAAUAGAGUAUAUGCAAAUUUUAUUAUUAUCAUAUGGAGGUAGAUACACUAUUUUCAAAAGACCGUCGACUCUAAUACAACUAUUUAAAUAUAACGAGAAAAUUAUGAUACGCCACAAAAAAUAGUAUCAAGUCUACUAAAAAGGAGCAACAACAAUAAUAAAAGAUGCAUCAAUUGAAACGUAAUAAAUAAUAAAUAUACUAAGAUAGAUUAUUAAAAACGAUGAUGUAGUAAAGUUUGAAACUAAUUUUAUUCUUUGUAAGGAAAAAUUGUAGUACUUUCUCCGUUUCACAAAGAAUGAUCUAAUUUGACUUAACACGAAGUUUAAGAAAAUAAAGAAGACUUUUGAUCAUGUGAUCUCAAAUUAAAGUUAUGUCAAAUGUAUAAAAUUACACUUUAAUAUUGUGGCCUUAUAUAUGUUAUCUAGAAAAUUAUUACCAAAAAAAAGAAAAAUAUAAUUUUUUUGAAACACUGAAUCAGAAAAAAAAUAAAAUUGUAGUCACUAUUGUGAGUCACUUUAAUUAAAGACAACAUGGUCCUUUUGCCGCACCGCAAUUUGGAAAUUAAGAUGUGCACUUAUAGUAGCUAAUUCAAUUUUAUUGGGUUCAUGUGGGAGACGUUAAAAUAAUCGUAUUGUUGAAUAUUUUAUCUUUUUUACUUUUAAUUUAAUAGAGUGUUUUUAUAACAUGGUAAAAAAUAUCGCUUAAUAAAUCACACAUUUGAAAACAUGAACAAUAGCCUGACACAAGUAAACAUGCAAAGGUUUCGACAUGUAAAAGGGGAGUUCUUGUGAGCAUAGUUCAUAUUCAUUUAUCUCUAAAAUGUAUAAGGUGGAGGCUCAACGUAUAAUUUUUGAGACUCAUUUUAGCUGUGCUCAAACAUUAUUCAUUAUUUUCUCGAGGACAAUUUUUCUUAAUUAUACCUAUACUGAUUGCCACGAAUAUUAACAUUUUUUUUUCAAGGUAAUGUUUGAUUUCCUGAAAUAUGUUACAUUUGAGAGAAAAAAGAGAUUAAUCAUUGCAUUCAUCCAUAAAAUACAAUGUUAUAAUUUGGUUCAUGAACUAUCAUUGGUAUCUUGAUCACAAAUAUAUCUUUCCAUUAAUGUACAAAUUUUACACAAAAAAUACAAUAAAAACCUUCAGAGCUUUAUGGAUCAAUUGCUAAAUGUAAGACAAAUUCAAACAAAUCGUAUUUAGAAUGAAUAGGUUAAAAAUAUUUGAACUAUUAUACUUUCACGAGUUACAUGUAUCUAAUAGCCGUAUGUUCCUUUUAUAUCACCAAACAAUAAUUUCGUGUAUAUUAAAAAACCCACCAUCACAUAACUACAUGUGUGUCUAUUACACACCCAAUUUACCUAAAAACAAUGCCAACUAACGAGGGGGUUUUAUUAUAGAGAGAAUUAUUAUUCCAAGCGUUAAUAUAUUGAGAUCUCUUUCACUCUUAAUCAAAUAAAAUUCGAAAUCAAAAAAUGAAAAAUGCAAGGGAGUAUUAAUUACAAGAAAAUAUGCUACUACAUCAUCCUUUCUCAUUCGUGUCUGAUAUUCAUAUUGAAGUCUAACUAAUUCAGGUUCACAUCACAUAAAAUCUCGUUCAUAAAAAAAUAUUCAAAUAUAAAUGAGAUUUGAUUAAGCAAAAUGACUAAUCUUUUUCUACCCCAUCAUCGCUACCAACCAACCAACUCCUAGAAAUAAAUUUAAAAACAUCACCUUAAUGAAAAAAUAAACUAAGCACUUCCAAUUUUGAAAAGAAAAUACAUUCAUCCAAUCAAAAUUUUAGAUAUUUUUUAUUUAUCAAAUUUGUAGGUCUACCAAACCUCAAUUUAAUCCAAUCAACUAUUCAGAUCUGAAACAAAUCUUGACCGUCCAUUUCCAUCAGAGAAGCCUAUUUAUACCAAUCACUUCCUUCCCUUAUUUCUUGCAACACUCUUCUUCUUCCUUAAAACCCAAAGGAAGAAAAGAAAAUCGCCUCUUUCUGUCAAUUUCAUCUCAAAAUCUCCCAUUUUCUCUCAGUUUUUCUCUUAUACUCGCCUUACCCAUGGCUCUACUCGUUGAGAAGACCACCUCUGGCCGCGAGUACAAGGUGAAGGACAUGUCCCAGGCUGACUUCGGCAGGCUCGAAAUCGAGCUUGCCGAAGUUGAAAUGCCUGGUCUCAUGGCUUCCCGUGCUGAAUUUGGCCCUUCACAGCCCUUUAAAGGUGCAAAGAUCACUGGAUCUCUGCAUAUGACUAUCCAAACUGCUGUUCUUAUUGAAACCCUAACUGCUUUGGGUGCUGAAGUUAGAUGGUGUUCUUGCAACAUCUUCUCAACUCAGGACCAUGCUGCAGCAGCCAUUGCACGUGACAGUGCUGCUGUUUUUGCCUGGAAAGGUGAGACUUUGCAGGAGUACUGGUGGUGUACUGAGAGGGCACUUGAUUGGGGUCCAGGUGGUGGUCCUGAUCUGAUUGUUGAUGAUGGAGGUGAUGCUACUCUGUUGAUUCAUGAGGGUGUUAAGGCUGAAGAGGAGUUUGCUAAGAAUGGAACAAUCCCAGAUCCUAGUUCUACUGAUAAUGUUGAGUUUCAACUUGUGCUUACUAUUAUUAAGGAGAGUUUAAAGACUGAUCCUUUAAAAUACACUAAGAUGAAGGAGAGACUUGUUGGUGUUUCUGAGGAAACUACCACUGGUGUUAAGAGGCUUUACCAAAUGCAGGCUAAUGGAACUUUGCUUUUCCCUGCUAUUAAUGUUAAUGACUCUGUUACCAAGAGCAAGGUAUGUGUGUUUUGCUUACUCUGUUUUUGUUUCUUGUGUUUCAGAUCUCUGCAUUUUUGUUUUGUCAAUUACUGUUUGAAAUACAGAUCUUAUAUGAAUAGUUAUAUAUUUUCUUGGAUCUUAUACAGAUGAAUUAUACUUGAACUUAAUAAUGGGUUGAUCUAUACUAAGUAUAGUAUCAGUAAUCAGUCGAAAUUUAUCCAAGAAUCUCAUUCCGGUAGAUUAUUUGUCGUAGUGGACUUUAGUAGCUUAAAGUUCACCAAUUGGAAGAUUGUCACUUGAAUUAUAAUAGGAACAUAUUUCAUUUGAUCUUUCUUGUUAAUCUGAUAAUAGAUGGUUACUUAAAUGUCUGAUCUUUGGUACAACUUUCCACUUACUAAUAUGCUGAUGAAUUGCAGCUGUGAUUAGGUUAGAUAUGUAUACUUAUAUGUCCUGUAAUUGGCUAAUGGAAGUCUGAUUCAAUUAAGAUGCUUGUUGUUGUAGAUCUUGUUUAGAUAAGAUAAUGUUAGCUUAUGGACUGAUGGUUGUAUUGAUUCUUUUGGUGUUUCAGUUUGACAACUUGUACGGAUGCCGCCACUCACUUCCCGAUGGUCUCAUGAGGGCUACUGAUGUUAUGAUUGCUGGAAAGGUUGCCCUUGUUGCUGGUUAUGGAGAUGUCGGCAAGGGAUGUGCUGCUGCCAUGAAACAAGCUGGUGCACGCGUUAUUGUGACUGAGAUUGAUCCAAUCUGUGCUCUCCAGGCUACCAUGGAAGGUCUCCAGGUUCUUCCUCUUGAGGAUGUUGUUUCUGAGGUUGAUAUCUUUGUGACCACCACUGGUAACAAGGACAUCAUCAUGGUUGACCACAUGAGGAAGAUGAAGAACAAUGCCAUCGUCUGCAACAUUGGUCACUUUGACAAUGAAAUCGACAUGCAUGGUCUUGAGACCUUCCCUGGUGUGAAGAGGAUCACAAUCAAGCCUCAAACCGACAGAUGGGUUUUCCCAGACACCAACAGUGGCAUCAUUGUGUUGGCCGAGGGUCGUCUCAUGAACUUGGGAUGUGCCACAGGACACCCCAGUUUUGUGAUGUCUUGCUCUUUCACUAACCAAGUCAUUGCCCAACUCGAGUUGUGGAAUGAGAAGAGCAGUGGUAAAUACGAGAAGAAGGUAUACGUUUUGCCAAAGCACCUUGACGAGAAGGUUGCUGCCCUUCAUCUUGGAAAGCUCGGAGCCAAACUUACCAAACUUACCAAGGAUCAAGCUGACUACAUUAGCGUACCAGUUGAGGGUCCUUACAAGCCUGCUCACUACAGGUACUGAGGGAAGACAAUUUGACAGUGGAACAAUAUUGUCGCGGCAUGAUUAUUUUGCUUUCAAUAUUUUGAGUUUGUUUAGGAUGAUAGUGUGUUUUGAUUAUUGUUGGGGAU